rnacentral:piRNA from 1 species
CCUGGGUGUCAAGUACUCUGUUGUGUGCUUUA